GAUGAACGCUAGCGGCAGGCUUAACACAUGCAAGUCGAGGGGUAUAGGUUUUCGGACCUAGAGACCGGCGCACGGGUGCGUAACGCGUAUGCAAUCUACCUUUUACAGAGGGAUAGCCCAGAGAAAUUUGGAUUAAUACCUCAUAGUAUAAUGAUUCGGCAUCGAGACAUUAUUAAAGUUCCAACGGUAAAAGAUGAGCAUGCGUCCCAUUAGCUAGAUGGUAAGGUAACGGCUUACCAUGGCGACGAUGGGUAGGGGUCCUGAGAGGGAGACCCCCCACACUGGUACUGAGACACGGACCAGACUCCUACGGGAGGCAGCAGUGAGGAAUAUUGGUCAAUGGGCGCAAGCCUGAACCAGCCAUGCCGCGUGCAGGAUGACGGUCCUAUGGAUUGUAAACUGCUUUUGUACAGGAAGAAACAGUUCUACGUGUAGAACCUUGACGGUACUGUAAGAAUAAGGAUCGGCUAACUCCGUGCCAGCCGCCGCAGUAAAAC
rnacentral:rRNA from 1 species